rnacentral:ncRNA from 1 species
GUCGCGCCUAGCCCGACGGGGCGAAAACCGGGCACCUUCCCCGGCUGGCGCGGCACCUAUUGAAGG